rnacentral:rRNA from 1 species
GAUGAACGCUGGCGGCGCGCCUAACACAUGCAAGUCGAACGAUGAAAGCACCGUCGGGGGUGUAUAGAGUGGCGAACGGAUGAGUAACACGUGGGCAACCUGCCCCUUUCAUUGGGAUAGCCACGGGAAACCGAGGGGAAUACCGAAUACUUCGAGACUGCCGCAUGGAAGACGGGAGAAAGAUCCGGCGGAGAGGGAUGGGCCCGCGGCCUGUUAGCUUGUUGGUGGGGUAACGGCCUAGCAAGGCAAUGAUGGGUAGCUGGGUUGAGAGAUCGACCAGCCAGAUUGGGCCUGAGACACGGCCCAGACUCCUACGGGAGGCAGCAGUGGGGGAUCUUGCACAAUGGGCGACAGCCUGAUGCAGCGACGCCGCGUGCGGGAUGAAUGCCUUCGGUUUGUAAACCGUUUUCAGCAGGGACGGGGCUAAAGUGACGGUACCUGCAGAAGAAGCCCCGGCUAACUACGUG